GAUGAAGAACGCAGCGAAAUGCGAUAAGUAGUGUGAAUUGCAGAAUUCCGUGAAUCAUCGAAUCUUUGAACGCACAUUGCGCCCCUUGGUAUUCCAUGGGGCAUGCCUGUUCGAGCGUCAUUUGUACCUUCAAGCUCUGCUUGGUGUUGGGUGUUUGUCUCGCCUUGCGCGUAGACUCGCCUUAAAACAAUUGGCAGCCGGCGUAUUGAUUUCGGAGCGCAGUACAUCUCGCGCUUUGCACUCAUAACGACGACGUCCAAAAGUACUUUUUACACUCUUGACCUCGGAUCAGGUAGGGAUACCCGCUGAACUUAAGCAUAUCAAUAAGCGGAGGA
rnacentral:misc_RNA from 1 species